CUUGUUCAUCUGGCUCUCCCCACCCUCCUACUUUCAGACUUAUCCUUCUAGGUCAGCAAAUCUGGAGAGCCUCUCCUCUUGAUCUAGGGUCAUUAUUACAAUGAAGGGAAGAAAGGAAGACAUGAAGGGGAAAUGGGACUAUUUACCAAGUGUAUCUGCAUAGACUAAAGGAGACAAGAGGAAGUACUGAGCACCUUGAUUCCUGCAGAUAAUUAUUUAAGAACCAUAAGAAUUCUUUCCUAGCUUCUCAUAAGCCUGCUCCUUCAAAGGGUUAACUGCAGUGAAUCAAACUAUUGGAUUAUAAUUCCAUGAAGUAAGUUUAUUGAAGACAAACAGGCCUUGGGCCGCUGCCUCUGUCUCUCCUGCCUUCCCCACUGAAUCUCCAGCCCACAUUCACAAACAAAGACAAACCUGUGUAAACUGAAGCACCACAAAACUACUUUUAUGAAAGCAGAAUGGAAGCAGAUUUCACCUGCAUUUCCUACAUUCAACUGAAUCCUUUAAAUUGACUGAGGCACAUCCUGUACCAAGGAGAGACCUUUGUUACUGCCUUUGAUCCUGAGACCUUCUGAGCCAGGAAAAAAAAUAAGAUACAGAAUAUAAAGAGACAGCAUAAAUGAUAGAAAACAAAAUAAGCAUGUUCAUGAGCCAGAAAUCAAGAAGAAAAGGCAAUGAUAAAAAGGGCUGAAGCCGGAGGCAUCCCAGGCCCUGGGUCUGGAAGCAGCUCUGGAGGCUGCUGCGUUCCUUGGCUCUUGGCUGCCUCUCCAUCUUCAAAGUGCAUCACUGCAGCCUGCGCUUCAUCCAUCACGUUGGCUCUGUCGCUCACAUUUCUACUUCUCUCUUGCAAGGACCCUUGGGAUUCUAUUGGACUCACCUGGAUAAUCCAAGAUAAUCUUCAUCUUAAAAUCCUUAAUUUAGUCACACACAGAAAAUCACCUCUGUUAUGUAAAGUAACAUAUUUCCAUAUCCUGGAGGAAGGGGGCAUUGAUGU
rnacentral:lncRNA from 1 species